rnacentral:rRNA from 1 species
UGGGGAAUAUUGGACAAUGGGCGAAAGCCUGAUCCAGCCAUGCCGCGUGUGUGAAGAAGGUCUUCGGAUUGUAAAGCACUUUAAGUUGGGAGGAAGGGCAGUAAGCGAAUACCUUGCUGUUUUGACGUUACCGACAGAAUAAGCACCGGCUAACUCUGUGCCAGCAGCCGCGGUAAUACAGAGGGUGCAAGCGUUAAUCGGAAUUACUGGGCGUAACGCGCGCGUAGGUGGCUCGUUAAGUUGAAUGUGAAAGCCCCGGGCUCAACCUGGGAACUGCAUCCAAAACUGGCGGGCUAGAGUAGGGCAGAGGGUGGUGGAAUUUCCUGUGUAGCGGUGAAAUGCGUAGAUAUAGGAAGGAACACCAGUAGCGAAGGCGACCACCUGGGCUCAUACUGACACUGAGGUGCGAAAGCGUGGGGAGCAAACAGG